GUCUUAAUAGGGCGUCAUAGUAUCAUGUUGUAGACCCGAAACCAUGUGACCUACCCAUGAGCAGGUUGAAGGUGAGGUAAAACUCACUGGAGGACCGAACCAGGGCACGUUGAAAAGUGCUUGGAUGACUUGUAGGGUAGCRKGAGAAAUUCCAAACGAACUUGGAGAUAGCUGGUUCUCUCCGAAAUAGCUUUAGGGCUAGCGUCGAUGUUAAGUCUCUUGGAGGUAGAGCACUGUUUGGGUGAGGGGUCCAUCCCGGAUUACCAAUCUCAGAUAAACUCCGAAUGCCAACGAGAUAUAAUCGGCAGUCAGACUGCGAGUGCUAAGAUCCGUAGUCGAAAGGGAAACAGCCCAGACCACCAGCUAAGGUCCCAAAAUAUAUGUUAAGUGGAAAAGGAUGUGGGGUUGCACAGACAACUAGGAUGUUAGCUUAGAAGCAGCUAUUCAUUCAAAGAGUGCGUAAUAGCUCACUAGUCGAGUGACCCUGCGCCGAAAAUGUACCGGGGCUAAAACAUAUUACCGAAGCUGUGGAUGACACAAAAGUGUCAUGGUAGGAGAGCGUUCUAUGUGUGAAGAAGGUGUACCGUGAGGAGCGCUGGAACGCAUAGAAGUGAGAAUGCCGGUAUGAGUAGCGCAAGACAGGUGAGAAUCCUGUCCACCGUAAGACUAAGGUUUCCAGGGGAAGGCUCGUCCGCCCUGGGUUAGUCGGGAUCUAAGGAGAGACCGAAAGGUGUAUCCGAUGGACAACAGGUUGAUAUUCCUGUACUAGAGUAUAUAGUGAUGGAGGGACGCAGUAGGCUAACUAAACCAGACGAUUGGAAGUGUCUGGUCAAACAGUGAGGUGUGAUAUGAGUCAAAUGCUUAUAUCUUUAACAUUGAGCUGUGACGAGGAGCGAAGUUUAGUAGCGAAGUUAGUGAUGUCACACUGCCAAGAAAAGCUUCUAGCGAUACAUAUACUCUACCCGUACCGCAAACCGACACAGGUAGUCGAGGCGAGUAGCCUCAGGUGAGCGAGAGAACUCUCGUUAAGGAACUCGGCAAAAUGGCCCCGUAACUUCGGGAGAAGGGGCGCUGAUUUUAGAUCAGCCGCAGUGAAUAGGCCCAAGCAACUGUUUAUCAAAAACACAGCUCUCUGCUAAAUCGUAAGAUGAUGUAUAGGGGGUGACGCCUGCCCGGUGCUGGAAGGUUAAGAGGAGUGCUUAGCGUAAGCGAAGGUAUGAAUUGAAGCCCCCAGUAAACGGCGGCCCCGUAACUAUAACGGUCCUAAGGUAGCGAAAUUCCUUGUCGGGUAAGUUCCGACCCGCACGAAAGGCGUAAUGAUUUGGGCACUGUCUCAACGAGAGACUCGSUGGAAUUUUAGUACCUGUGAAGAUGCAGGUUACCCGCGACAGGACGGAAAGACCCCAUGGAGCUUUACUGCAGUUUGAUAUUGAGUAUCUGUACCACAUGUACAGGAUAGGUAGGAGCCUAUGAUAACGGGACGCCAGUUUCGUUUGAGGCGUUGUUGGGAUACUACCCUUGUGUUAUGGCUACUCUAACCCAGAUAGGCAAUCCCUAUCGGAGACAGUGUCUGACGGGCAGUUUGACUGGGGCGGUCGCCUCCUAAAAGGUAACGGAGGCGCCCAAAGGUUCCCUCAGACUGGUUGGAAAUCAGUCGUAGAGUGUAAAGGUAUAAGGGAGCUUGACUGCGAGAGCUACAACUCGAGCAGGGACGAAAGUCGGGCUUAGUGAUCCGGUGGUUCCGUAUGGAAGGGCCAUCGCUCAACGGAUAAAAGCUACCCUGGGGAUAACAGGCUUAUCUCCCCCAAGAGUUCACAUCGACGGGGAGGUUUGGCACCUCGAUGUCGGCUCGUCGCAUCCUGGGGCUGUAGUCGGUCCCAAGGGUUGGGCUGUUCGCCCAUUAAAGCGGCACGCGAGCUGGGUUCAGAACGUCGUGAGACAGUUCGGUCCCUAUCCGUCGCGGGCGUAGGAAAUUUGAGAGGAUCUGAUCCUAGUACGAGAGGA
rnacentral:rRNA from 1 species